CCUUCUGCUUUUGUGGCAGAACCUGAGUAGUGAGGGCUGAAACAUUUUGCUCGCCUACAAUCUGUUUGGAUGAUUGUUUGGGCUGAAUAAAGGCAGAAAUAUUUCGUCCUAAGUUUACUUUUUCGCUCCCCUUAAUCCUCCUCUUGUUGGUACACAAAUCUUUCAGAAACUUUGCAUACUUAGGAAUCUGCUUAAUAACAUCAAGUAGCGGAAUAUUUACCGCAACCUUUCGAAAAACAUCCAAUAUCUCUC
rnacentral:lncRNA from 1 species